CGCUCCAGUCCCGGCCCGACGCCCGACGCCCGCCGCCCCACGUCCGAGGGCCGGGAAGGAACCACCAGCGGAGGCAACUCGCCCUCCAAGGCAGCCGCCGAGUUCCGCAGAGCCCGCGCCGGCCCGACGCCAUGACGCGGGACACGCGCUGCCUCCUCUCCACAGGACUCCCUCUGGCUCCUGUGAAGUAAAGAGACAAGAGGAGGAGCUGGGAGCCUGCAGGAUACAUACAGUUUCCUUACAGCAUGGUGACUAGAAUCCAAGGAUGAGACCAACAGAGAGAGAGUGAGCUGGACAGAAGAUGUAUACUUUUUAUGACCUAUCCUCAGAAGUCACGUAGGAUUAUUUUCUCUGCUAGUCAAGAUAUCACAAAGAUCUGCUGACAUUCAAGGGGCAAGAAUAUAGGCCCCCAUCCCUGGAUGGAGGAAUGGCAGCACCACAUUGUAAGAACAGAUGAGAUGAGAUGAAAAGUGUAUUAGUAUGGCCAUCUUUGAAGAAAGCAAUCUGCUAUAUCCUCCUAGUGCUGAGUGAUAUUCUUCUGUGCCCUGCCCCAAGAGAAGCCUCAUGACAUAGACAACAUCAUGGACACAGUUCUGUAGUCAAUAUUCCUUUGUCAUAAAUAAAAUAUAUUACAAAGACUUCCAGGGAAGAUGGCAGAGUAGGGACCCUAAGCUCACCUUGGCCCACCAAUACAACUAGAUAAUAUCCACAUCAGUGUAAAUGCCCAGAAAAUGACUCAAAGAAUGGCACAAGAGACUCUCCACAACUAAAUAUAGAGAAGAGGCCACACUGAAGAAGAUAGGAAGGGCAAUGCAGUCAGGGCUAAACAGACCCACAAAACUAUCCAAAGGAGGGAGGGAUACCAUGGGCAUGGAAAGGGGAGAGAAACAGACCUUCAUAACCAGGCACCCAAGGCAGGAGGAAUAUGCACAUGAUAUUUAGCUUUAAAAAUCAGCAGGCUUAGCUCUGGGAGAACUGGGAGGACAAGAGGAAACAGAGCUCUUGCCCUGAAGGAGGUAGCACAAAAAAAUGGCCCUUCACAGAUACAGCAUAGAAGUAGCAGUUUGAAAAACUCCUGGGAUAGAUAGGAGGGAGAUUUGUUUACUAAUCUCAGAGCACAUGUGAUAGGUACAGGAAUCACUGGGAGACUUCUCCAAGAAUAAAAGAGCUGGCAGGUGCCAUUUCCUUCCCCAGCCCCCCAGUCUAGACACAUAGAUACCUGUGGGAACCAGUAUAGGCCAACACUUGUUACCUAACAAGUUACAAUGUUCCCUAACCCCAUGUUCUGCAGACAUGUCCCCUCCAGCCCAGCUUCAGGUUUUCUCUCACAGUAGAUGUACCUUGUUAACCUUGCCAACACCACACACCUUGCCCCUAUGUUCUCUUGUAGAUGUGUCCUUUCCAAUAUGCCCUUGGCUAGAAGCCAUCCAAAGUGGUGCCAUAAGCCUAGCAGGUUGUAAGCAGUCUUGACAGGGACCAGCAUCAUGCCAAAGUGACUCGGGGAAGAUAACCACACACAUCUGUCAAACUGCAGCCCCCCAGCAGUAGGUGGGGACAGACAUCUGGUUUGACUGCAGUCCCUACCCACCAAUGAAAGCUUCUCAGGGGACAACACAGGGAAAGUGCCCUGCAGUUUGGUGCUACUGCAUCACUGGCAAAUACCCAGUCUGAAACAACAGGGGCCCAAGGCAUCCCCAUACUGGUCCACUAACACCAGAGGGACCAAACACUGCCCACAACAGGCAAAGAGACUGGGCUGAAAGCAAAAGUGGCUCAGCCACAGCAAUAGGAUGCAUGCAACACACACCCCUGCCACCCCUGAAGCACCAGGUUCUGGUGAACAGGAGACAUUGCACUGUAGGGCACUACAGGACUUCUUAUUCAUAAGACCACUAUUUUCACAAGCAAGAGACGUAGCUGACUUUCCUAACACAUAGAAACAGAUACAGAGAGUAAGAUAAAAGUAAGGAGAUAGAGGAAUAUGUCCCAAAUGAAUAAAACAGGAAAAAGAGAGAACAAAAGAGCUAAACUAAAUGGAGAUAGUAAUGUGCCUAAUAGAAAAAUUUAAAUAAUUGUAAAGAUAUUCACUGGACCUGAGAAAAAGUGGAGGACCUCAGUGAGACCCUUAACAAAGAGAAAAUAUAAAAAAGAACCAGUCAGAGAUGAAGAACUCAAUAAUUGAAAUAAAAAAUACACUGGAUUGGAGAGCAUGGGUGGCUUAGUCCAUUAAGUGCCUGCCUUUGGUUCAGGUCAUGAUUCCAGGGUCCUGGGAUUGAGCCCUACAUCGGGCUGCCUGCUCACGCUCUCCUUGGAGCUUGAUUCUCCCUCUUCUCCCCGCUUGUGCUCUCUUACUAUCUCUGUCUCAAAUAAAUAAACAAAACCUUUAAAAUAAGUAAGUAAAUAAAUAGUAGACUAGAGGAAGCAGAAGAAUGGGCCAGUGACCUGGAGAACAGAGUAAUGGCAACAAGAGAGAGAAAUAAUAAUAAUAAAUGAGAAUAGACUUAGGGAACUCAGGGACACCAUCAAGUGUAAUAAUAUCCACAUUAUAGGGACCCUAGAAGGAGAAGAGAGAGAAGGGGGAGGGCAGAAAAUUUAAUUAAAAAAAUAAUAGCUAAAAACUUCCCUAAUCUAGGAAGGACACAAAUCCAGAUCCAGGAGGCACAGAGAUCCCCCGCAAAAAUCCACCCAAUGAGGUCCACACCAAGACACAGAGUAAGUGAAAUGGUAAAAAGUAGUGAUAGAGAAUUUUAAAAACAGCAAGAGAAACAAAAACAGUUAUAUACAAGGGAAACCCCCAUAAAGCUAUCAGCUAAUUUUUCAGCAGAAACUUUACA